rnacentral:tRNA from 1 species
GCCGACGUGGUGGAAUUGGUAGACACGCCAUCUUGAGGGGGUGGUGGGCAUAGCCCGUGCUAGUUCGAGUCUAGUCGUCGGCACCA